UCCGGUUAAAAUUCCGGAACCGG
rnacentral:snRNA from 1 species